rnacentral:tRNA from 1 species
GGGGAUUUAGCUCAGUGGUAGAGCGCUUGCCUAGCAAGUGCAAGGGCCUGGGUUCAGUCCCCA